rnacentral:rRNA from 1 species
AUUGAACGCUGGCGGCAGGCCUAACACAUGCAAGUCGAGCGGCAGCGGAAAGUAGCUUGCUACUUUGCCGGCGAGCGGCGGACGGGUGAGUAAUGUCUGGGAAACUGCCUGAUGGAGGGGGAUAACUACUGGAAACGGUAGCUAAUACCGCAUAACGUCGCAAGACCAAAGAGGGGGACCUUCGGGCCUCUUGCCAUCAGAUGUGCCCAGAUGGGAUUAGCUAGUAGGUGGGGUAACGGCUCACCUAGGCGACGAUCCCUAGCUGGUCUGAGAGGAUGACAAGCGACACUGGAACGGAGACACGGUCCAGACUCCUACGGGAGGCAGCAGUGGGGAAUAUUGCACAAUGGGCGCAAGCCUGAUGCAGCCAUGCCGCGUGUAUGAAGAAGGCCUUCGGGUUGUAAAGUACUUUCAGCGGGGAGGAAGGCGUUGAGGUUAAUAACCUCAGCGAUUGACGUUACCCGCAGAAGAAGCACCGGCUAACUCCGUGCCAGCAGCCGCAGUAA